UUCCCAGAUGUACACUGAGGACAGGUGU
rnacentral:piRNA from 1 species